CCUAGUUCUAACCGUAAACGAUGCCAACUAGCGAUUCGUCGAUGUUCUGUUAAGACUCGACGAGCAGCUUCCGGGAAACCAAAGUGUUUUGGUUCCGGGGGAAGUAUGGUUGCAAAGCUGAAACUUAAAGGAAUUGACGGAAGGGCACCACCAGGAGUGGAGCCUGCGGCUUAAUUUGACUCAACACGGGAAAACUCACCCGGCCCGGACACCGGAAGGAUUGACAGACCGAGAGCUCUUUCUUGAUUCGGUGGGUAGUGGUGCAUGGCCGUUCUUAGUUGGUGGAGUGAUUUGUCUGGUCAAUUCCGAUAACGAACGAGACUCUGGCUUAUUAACUAGUGACAGCACGAUUAAUGAGUGGCUGUUCACUUCUUAGAGGGACUAGAGGUAUGAAACCUCACGAAAUGGAGCAAUAACAGGUCUGUGAUGCCCUUAGAUGUCCGGGGCUGCACGCGCGCUACACUGAAAGCGUCAGCGUGUCUAGCCACCUGACCUGAAAAGGUCGGGUAAUCGGUUGAAAAGCUUUCGUGCUUGGAACAGGGAAUUGUAAUUGUUUCCCUCGAACGAGGAAUUCCCAGUAAGCGCGAGUCAUUAGCUCGCGUUGAU
rnacentral:rRNA from 1 species